UUCUUUUUAUUUUCACUGUAUACUCGUGUUACAACACGACAUCCACCCCCUCUGAACUUGUGCAUCCUCCGGUAUGCACCAAUUUAUCCAAUUGCUGUUUGAUUCAGAAUAUAUCCCCUACGUCUUUGUCCAGUUCGUCUUCGUCACCUUCAUUAUCCAUAUCACUUUCAUCUUCUUGCUGCGGAAUCUCUGUACCUUCAUUAAGGUCUUCCAUAUUCAUCUC
rnacentral:lncRNA from 1 species